GCGAGGGUGGCGGAAUUGGUAGACGCGCACGGUUCAGGUCCGUGUGUCUUCGGACGUGGGGGUUCAAGUCCCUUUCCUCGCA
rnacentral:tRNA from 1 species